AAAAAAUAAAGAAUAUGGGAGCACAGAAGUAGCAGAGAAUCAGGAGUAAAUAAGUUCUAAGGGAAGUACUUCCAGAUAAUGUUUCUGGAGAUGUGACAGAUAAGCUCAUUUUAACUUUCUUUUGAGGAUCUUUCCAGAUUUAUUUUAUGAUUUCAUGAUGCAAUUUGGCAAGAAGAUUGUCUAACACCUCCAUUCAACAGGUUAUUCUUGAGUACUCACUAUGUGCCAGUGAGAAUUAAAUAUUUUUCAUAGGUUAUCUUAGGUUAAUCUUCAUUAUUGCACUAUAAUAUUUGAAUUAUUAAAUUACUUUUAAGGUAAUUGAACUGGAAAAAAUAAAUUUAAAUAAUUUAAGUAAGGUCACAUAUAUCUUUUAAGCUAGCCCCAAAGUUUUUUUUUUUUUCUGAUCUACUUAUGCUGUACUAUCUGUAUGUUUUGUUCUUUUCUCACUAUUGUUUUUUUGUGUCUAUGGGAUUGAAAGCAAUAGUUCUUCAGGGAGGAACAAAAGAUUUUCAAAUUUCUACAUUUCCUGAACACAAAAUUCUAAAUGAUCUCAUAAUUACUAGGAAAAUAAUUUGUUUAGUUUAAACCUACUGCUACAGACACUGACAUGCUUUCAAAUGAAGGAAAGUUAUUGCAUGUAUGAUAAUGUUUGUUGUCAAUUCAUGGAUCACAUUCUUUUUUCCCCCAGAAAAAGCCAAAGCAAUUGUGAUUUCAUAAAGAAAAUAAAAC
rnacentral:lncRNA from 1 species